GGCAGAAUAGCUCAGUUGGAUAGAGCACCGGUACUAGAAACCAGGAAGUUGCGGGUUCAAAUCCUGCUUCAGCCA